UCCUUCUCUUUCCCAUUUCUUCCCCCAAUUUGCAUAACCCUAGUUUAUAAUCCAUCUGUAGCAGAAUUAAUUAUUAGGAAGUAACAAUGCUCUUAAGGCGCAACACCGGAAGAGAAUCACCUCGGUUUUAUGAUUCGAUAACCGAGGCUUCGUUUGUCACUGUGAAAAUAUAUCAUGGGGGAUUUAUGAAGCGUAUACCAGAGAAGCACUAUGUUGGAGGAAACAUAGAUUACAUUGAUUAUGUAAAUGUCGCAAAAUUGAAUAUUGCUGAGUUCAAGAAGAUGACAGAGAUAUGUGGUUAUUUGAGUGAUUCGAUAACUUUUUGGCGCAAGUGUGAAAAGCCUGGUAGUAUAUGGAAGUUGAUCUCUACGGAUUUUGAAGCCUCUGCAGUUGGUAAAAGCAUCCAAAAUGACAAUGUGCUUGAGAUAUACUUUGAACACUUGAACUCUUAUUUUCAAAUAGACAAAGUGGAUUCAAUAAUUCAAUAAAAUAUUAAAGAAAAUAACAAGCUACAACUUAUGUGUGAAAAUUCAUCUUGUGAUGAUUUUAGUGAUUCAGAAGUUGAUUUAUCAGAUGAUGUGUUGAUUGAUUCACAUGAGAAGAGGAACCAAAGCAUUUUGGAAGAGAGGGGGCUCCUUAGCGACAAAAUAAAAAGAAAGAUGGUUGACAUAGAAGGGGAUCUUGAUUGUAUUGAUUCUGAAGACAUGCAGAGUUUGGAUAGUGAUUCUGAAACUGAAAGUUUUAACUUUCCUCGGUUCAAUCCAAAGACCGAUGUAGAUAACCCAGUAUUAGGUUUAGAAUAUACCUUUGGGACAAAGCAGGAAUUUAAGAAUGCUGUAGCAACUCAUGCGAUUAAGAAUGGAAAGUAUAUCCAGUGGAAUAGGAACGAUGGUGUAAGCAUGGAGGCACGUUGCUAACAUCAUCCAGAGUGCAAAUGGAAAAUCAUGGCUUCUAGAAUGCAAAGAGACAAGGCUUUCCAGAUUAAAACUUACAAUCCCAUACAUACUUGUAAGGAGUGGCAUCAUGAAAAUAGAACGAUCACUUCAUCCUUUAUUGCAAGAAGAUACCUCAAAGAAAUUGGAUCAAAUCGGGAUUGGAAAGUUAGAUAUUGAUGCUGCUGCUUGGUUAUCUGGUAAAGAUCCUAGUGAAUAGUCUAUGUCGCAUUUCUCUUCAGAUGCUAAGUGUGACACCUUACUAAAUAAUUUGUGUGAAGUAUUUAAUAGCAUGAUACUUGAUGCUCGGGAUAAGCCAAUUGUGACACUUUUGGAGAAAUUACGAUAUAUGCUCAUGGCGAGAAUGCUAGCUAAUAGGGAAAAGGCUGAGAAAUGGAAUUUGGGUGAUAUUUGUCCUAAGAUCAAGGAUAUAUUACACAAAAAUCAGAUUGCAGCUGUUGAAUAUAUACCGAGAAAAUCAAAUUACUGGAGCUAUGAAAUUUUAGGAGCUACAGUUACGGACAAUUGGGCAGUUGACUUGCAGAAUAAAUCUUGUAGUUGUAGAAAAUGGAGUCUCACGGGAAUCCCUUGCAAGCAUGCUAUUGCAGCAAUUUGGGCUAAGAAGGAUAACAUUCUUGACUAUGUCCAUGAUUGUUACAAGGUGAAAACAUAUAGAAGAAUUUAUGAAAACUCAAUUCUUCCAAUGAAUGGGCCACAACUAUGGCCUAAGUCAAGUAAAGUUCCUCCCCUGCCUCCAAAGAUUGUGAGAAAUAGUAAGAGAGGAAGAAAGCAAAAGUUGCGAUAAAAGGAACAAGAUGAAGUUGGUGCUAGUCGAACAAAGAUGAAACGAAAGCAAAAAUCUCUAGAUUGUAGUAUAUGUCACAAGCCUGGCCACAACAAAAGGACUUGCAAGUAUAAUAUUGUAGAAGAAGAAACUAACUCUUCAGUUCGUCAGAAACUACAUGUUAGAAGAGGAUAUGAUGAAGUGGGUCAUGGAGAAGUGGAACAUGAGCAAAAUGGGACUGGUCGAAGUAGAAAUUGGACCAGAAUUUAUUUGGGAAAGUUUUCAAUAUACACAAAAAAAUGACAUGCCUUUUGAAGUUUAACAGAUUUUUUGGGGUGCUUGAAUGUUGCUGAUUUUUAAGGUGGUGCAGGAAUUUUUAUUGCUGUUCUGGUUUUGUAAGAUCUGCAAGAGGCGGACCUACCUUAAGGUUAGGGGGUCACCGGAAUCCGUUAGCCUCGAAAAAAAUACUUUAUAUAUAUUGGGACCCGUUAAAUAAUUUAUCUGGCCCCCUCGAUAAACAAAAGCAAGGCAGACGCGUUGGUUUUGUAGCUUGCUCAAGCACUUAAUUACUUGACGGAUCCGGGUUAGAAACCUGUCUCCUGCUCUUCCUUUUUAAAAUUACUUAGGUCAACUGAUUUUUUAUUUUAUUUUUUUGAAUUCUUUAAUACUUGUACACAAUAGUUAACAUGAAGUCUUUUAACUUUUAUCCUUUUCCAAACUAAAAAACAAAACCAACGCCUCCUCCUUUCUCCAAACGGACGCCUAAACCCUUUUGCUUAAAAACAACCCCCUUUUCAAUUAACCCUUUUCCGCUUCUGUUCGAGCUCAAAUCCGGCAACUAGCAGUCCGAAUCGGCGGCGGCUAUUGGAUCGAGGCUCUUCUUCAACUGAAAUAAAAAGAAAAAUGGCAAGAGGGUUGAUAUGGGCUACUGCAGAAGACUUGGCAAAGAAUAGAGAAAGAGUUCUGUCUUUGUAUAGGCAAAUCUUGAGGAGCCUUAACUCACCGGCUUUGCCACUCAACUUAGCAGCUAGGCUUCAAAAGAAAGCUGAGGUCCGUGCCAUGUUCAUGUUGGGUUCCGAGGAACGAUCCCUUCACAACAUUCAAGAUCUUAUUUAUGCUGCUGAAUACUCUCUUUCCCAAUUAAGAAAAGGAGAAGUUCCAAAACACAUUCAAGUUUAUCAAUAAGUCAGGCCAAUUUUCUUGUUUGACCCAGCUUAUAUUGAUAUCUGUUGCAACUUAAAGUCUUGUUGAAGAUUUCACUCGAGCUGCAUGGGUGUUAAGCUUCUCCCAAGUGGAAUCAGCAUAUCCUGUAAAUUGUUAGUCGAAAUAGAUGGCUGACCAUUGAUGGAGGGAGAUGAUCUUGACAUUAUUCCUCUAGAGUCCAUUUACGCGAGGAUAGCAGUGUGCUACUAAAUUAUUAUAUCACCUUUUGUCCCCUUCAGUAGUUGAAAUUACUGAGAUAGAGUAUAACAUUCCUUGUUCCUGCAGAUGUUUACAUAUGAGAAAACAAAGUGAAAUCUCAUA